rnacentral:rRNA from 1 species
GCGUUGUCCGGAAUUACUGGGCGUAAAGCGUGCGCAGGCGGCCCGUGAGGUGUCACGUGAAAGCCCCGGGCUCAACCCGGGAGGGUCGUGGCAAACCGGCGGGCUUGAGGCCGGUAGAGGUGGGUGGAACUCCUGGUGGAGUGGUGAAAUGCGUAGAGAUCAGGAAGAACACCCGUGGCGAAGGCGGCCCACUGGGCCGGUACUGACGCUGAGGCACGAAGGCGUG